AUCAUCCAGAGCAGCGGAAGGACUGGCCUAAUGAUGCUGCGGCAACCUACAAGUGUAAGGUGCCAAUUCCAGCAGGAACAGAUGCCUGAUAGAUGAGU
rnacentral:ncRNA from 1 species